UAACUGUAAUAAAUGGUGGUCAAAUAACAUAAAUGAUGAUUUGCAUUAAUUUUUUCAACUUCACAGUCCAUGAUUGAGAACGCAGUGAAAUGAGCUCGUAGCCAUUUUCUCACACAAUGAAUUCACAUACCAAUGUCAACCAAUACCGUUGCAUGUAAAUGGCGGAUAGCCCAUUUAACUAUUCAUGCCUAAUCGAAAUCGCAUAUUGAGCUAUACAAACUUUCUUUCAAAUUGUCGACAAGUAAUUUUUCUUUUCAAUCAUUAUGAAAGACAAUAAUUGACAGCACCUGUUCUAACAUGUUUGUACCAGAUGGAUAAAAAUAUCUUUCAAAUAUUUACGAAGAAGAAGAACCAGAGGGGUUUUCCCUC